AUAAUUACCUGACAGAGGAGAUACCAUGAUCAUGAAAGUGGUUUUCCAGGGCAAGGUUUAUCCAUUGCAGUCCAGAUGUGCUCACCCCUGUGAUUUCCCCAAAUGCAGGAAACUCGACUGCAUAAUUUGUGGUAGUCGGGAACUGCAUUUUUACUCUCCCCUG